GGCCCAUUAGCUCAGCUGGUUAGAGCGUGGUGCUAAUAACGCCAAGGUCGCAGGUUCGAUCCCUGCAUGGGCCA
rnacentral:tRNA from 1 species